rnacentral:lncRNA from 1 species
CUUGGCUAUCAUGUGUAAAAUCAGACAAGUGUUCGGUAAACAGGAAGUUGUCAAGUGAUGAAUCUGAAAACGCAUCACACGGUGUGGCUGACAUAUAUAAAUGUUGAUACCAAAUUACAGAAAGGGUGGAUGUGUAGUUCCUGAGAAAAAUGUGACGAAAGUUUCAUGGGACGGACUGACUGACGGACUGACUGACGGACUGACUGACGGACUGACGGACGGACUGACAGACAGAGGUAAAACAGUAUACCCCCCCUUUUUUUAAGCGGGGGUAUAAU